AUGAGAGAAAAGAUGGGGGAAAUUAUUCUGAUAAUUGUGGGGAAGAAUUGUUGUCAGCAGCAAAAGCGUUGCCAAGGCACUUCCAUGAAACCAGGAAGUUUUCCUGUUUUGCUGGGGUGGAAUUGCACCCACAGUCCCUUCUCCACCCCGGCUGCACCCCAGAAGUGUGAGCAGGAGUCGAGCCCUCAGUGCCACUGCUCUGCCCGCAGGACUCUGCACAGAGAGCAAGCCAAGGACAGGGGGUCUCUGCUUUCUCAGCUCAGCGCAGCUCUGGCCCUGAUGCUGGGGAGGGGAUGCCCACGGACAGUGCCACGCACUGUGGGAAGUGCUGAUUUAUCCUCCCGGGCGCACGUCACUGCUCGCGUCUGCAUUCCAACUCCAGUGAAAAAUGCGCCACCGUCAAACUCCCGUACGUCACAGUCAAACACAAACAGUGGUUUCCAAAUAGCUGCUUACCAGGCUGCACGUUCAGUUGUGCAAUCAGCCCCUGGCUCUCUCUCCCUGCAGGUGAAGGGAGCAGGGGCUGCACCCACCGGGGCGCUUGCACUGCAGUGGCAGACGGAGGGGCAGUCUGACGUGGCAGCAGGCAGCAGUUACCUGCGCAAGGAACACGCUGAAGCCCUCUCAAACCCCAACAGGUGCCGCCUUCCUGCAGGAAGGCACACAGGAGAUGGAUGGGACAGCUGCCGAGCAAACCUGCACCUCAAAGCAGACAGAGGGGAGCAGCUGCUGGCAGAGCUCUGCCGAGGGACCCACGGCCUCCGGGGCAGGGCUGAGGUGGCCCAGCCCUGCCACCAGGGGCCAUCCACCGGCAGGACCUGCUCCGGGAGGAGGCAGGGGCCAAGUGACCAGCAGGGACCCCUGGGGGCUGGCAGGGGGGCUGUGGGGAGCAGGAGGGAUGGAGAGGAGCCUCUGGCAGCCCCUGAGCUGCGGUGUCAGGGAGUCUGGAGAGCACUCCUCAGAUCCAGAGCCUUCCAACCUCUUCUGAAGGAUUUCCUCUCCAGACUCUGGGUUUAG
rnacentral:lncRNA from 1 species